rnacentral:snoRNA from 1 species
AAGCUGGGCACACUUCUCUUCCUGAGGGAGAAUGAAUGAAAGAAAGAGUAAUAAAAAAAAUACGCAGUAAAAGCUGGCGAUAGUAACGCCAUGAUACGAGCCUUAAGGACACUCAGUCAUUAGGGUCCCUGCAAAUGGCUACAGCA